rnacentral:lncRNA from 1 species
CCUCAGAAGAGAUGAAUUUAGAAUAUUUGCAGUGCUGAACUGAAUGUAGAGCACAUUAGCUAGCAUUUGUGUUGCAAGCAUUUCCUAUCUUCAUCAAGCAGAAGACUUGUUUUCCUGCUUCAAUUGUUUCUGGAUUGCAGAACUUGGGCUAUUUUACUUCUUUGCUGCCUUUCUUCACGAGAGUGGAACAACAAUUGCUGUUCCUUGGAAGAGCUGCUGCUCUUUGUUUGAAGGACUCAUUAAGUAUCAGUGACUCAGCUGUAACUAGAACUGCUGCAGGAAGUUAUGUGUUGAGUUUUAUAUCAACCCUGGGAUUUUCUUUGUUCUUUUUGAAAAAUCUAAGACCCUGUUUAAGACGACAAAUGAUGUUGAAAGUCACAAUGAGAACAGAUACAGAAUUACUUACAGACCUGUUCUGUCACUGUGCACACAUGUUCUCCCAUGACACUGUUGAUAGAACUUUGAUUUUCUUCCAAAAGAAGCCUUAGUAGUCAAAGCGAGAAAACUUGCUUCUGAAUUUCUUUUUCACUGUCUCCAGUACAAGUAAGAAGAAAAUACACUGAAGUCAGAGAUUGCUGAACAAAGCCAAAAUGAGCAAAAGGCCCUAGCUGACUGUCUCUUUCCCUGAUAUGAGAGAAAUUAGUGUUACUAAAAGGCAAAUCUUUAAGUAAAUCUGCUACUCGGUGAUAUUUCUGUUACAUCUUCUUUCAGAUUUACUCUGUAUGCCGUACAUAUUGUAUCAGAUGAACACAUGAAAAUCCUAAUGAAAAUUUGACCACUUGAAUAUUAAAAUUAAAAAAGACAAGCUGUAUUCUAAUAAUUCUGUGCUUUUUCUUUUUUCCAAUGCACAAAGUAAGCCAUCUGUUGCAAAACCAGAGUGCUUGUCAGAAGAAAUGUCAAAACCAGUCAGUACUCAGGACACACUAUGAUAGUUAUUUUUUUCAGCAUGAAGGGGUUUUCAUUGUCUGGCAUUCAGAGGUUCUUUGGCUGUGUCACCAGUGGCUUAUAUAUAAGGAAUGAAUGAUGAAAGUAAGUUGAACUGUUCAUUAGUUUAACUUGUGCCAUCUUGGGAAGACUCAGGAUUGAAUUUUUCAUUUGAAACCCAAUGUUCCUGCAUAAUAGUGAAGAAAGUAACUCUAUAAGCCCUGAAAUAACAGAAGCCUGUCUUGCCGAGGUCUUCUGCCCUGAGGCACAGAGCAGUGUUUGAUGUCUAGUAAGUG